GACGACGCUGUCGCGUGCUUACACAUGCAAGUCGAACGAAGAGCGAUGGAAGCUUGCUUCUAUCAAUCUUAGUGGCGAACGGGUGAGUAACGCGUAAUCAACCUGCCCUUCAGAGGGGGACACAGUUGGAAACGACUGCUAUACCGCAUACGAUCUGACCUCGGCAUCGAGGAUGGAUGAAAGGUGGCCUCUAUUUAUAAGCUAUCACUGAAGGAGGGGAUUGCGUCUGAUUAGCUAGUUGGAGGGGUAACGGCCCACCAAGGCGAUGAUCAGUAGCCGGUCUGAGAGGAUGAACGGCCACAUUGGGACUGAGACACGGCCCAGACUCCUACGGGAGGCAGCAGUGGGGAAUCUUCCGCAAUGGACGAAAGUCUGACGGAGCAACGCCGCGUGAGUGAUGACGGCCUUCGGGUUGUAAAGCUCUGUUAAUCGGUGCACGAAAGGCCUUCUUGCGACAUAGUUAGAAGGAUUGACGGUACCGGCA
rnacentral:rRNA from 1 species